UUACCCCUCUGUUAUCUGAUUUUGACCGAGGGUUUCCGAUGGUUAGUGUGCACUCGUGGUCAAUUGACGAACUCCUCAGUGGACUGUGAAAUUGAGGCUACAUAGAAGUUAAACAGUAAUUUAGAGCAAAUAUCCUCAUUCAUGAAAAUGCAGCCGAGGAACUACAUUUCAAUGCGCAGUAUGCCAGAUCAGGUAGUAUUAAACUGUGUGGACGGUCGAGACAACAUCUCUCGGGAUCCGAGCCAAGGACCGCGAGUAGAGUGUCUCCCAGUGUCGUUCCACUGUGCCAUUCAGCCUGCCAGGGAAGGGGGCACAACGCACCAAACUAGUCAACAGUCCCAAGACCAAUAUUGGAGGGAUUGCCUUGUUUAUUGGAUCUGAGGCUUUGGUCGACGCAGUUUCCCAGGUUCCCCCAGAGACGUUCUAUUGUCAUGCUCAGGAAGCUUCCAGAACCUCAAGAACGGCAAUCUAUGAGUGACAUGGAAGGCCAAAGCUAGGUCAGAACUGACAGAGAUGAACCCAACCUGGGGUGAAGUGCAAAACAUGGUCAUGGGCAGGACAAGACAGUCUGCUGAGUGUGGUCUCAUGCCCCAAAAAUUGACAGAGGAUUCGGACCUGAGCCAUCAGACCAUGCCUCAGGACUACCUGGCAUGAUGACUCCUUGCUGUCACCAGUCCACCUGGCCGUGCUGCUGCUCCAGUUUCAACUGUUCUGCCUGCGGCUAUGGAACCCUGACCUGUUCACCGGACGUGCUACCUGUCCCAGACCUGCUGUUUUCAACUCUCUAGAGACAGCAGGAGCGGUAGAGAUACUCUGAAUGAUCGGCUAUGAAAAGCCAACUGACAUUUACUCCUGAGGUGCUGACUUGUUGCACCCUCGACAACUACUGUGAUUAUUAUUAUUUGACCAUGCUGAUCAUUUAUGAACACUUGAACUUCUUGGCCAUGUUGUGUUAUAAUCUCCACCUGGCACAGCCAGAAGAGGACUGGCCACCCCUCAUAGCCUGGUUCCUCUCUAGGUUUCUUCCUAAGUUCUGGCCUUUCUAGGUAGUUUUUCCUAGCCACUGUGCUUCUACAUCUGCAUUGCUUGCUGUUUGGGGUUUUAGGCUGGGUUUCUGUACAGCACUUUGAGAUAUCAGCUGAUGUAAGAAGGGCUAUAUAAAUACAUUUGAUUUGAUUCAGUUAGGAAGUGUGAUGCAAUAAUGCUUAGCAUACCCCAAUAAAGCCGACGACAUCCUGUUUGAA